rnacentral:tRNA from 1 species
UCCCUGGUGGUCCAGUGCUAAGACUCUGUGCUCCCAAUGCAGGGGCCCUGGGUUUUAUCCCUGCCCAGGGAA